rnacentral:rRNA from 1 species
AUUGAACGCUGGCGGCAGGCCUAACACAUGCAAGUCGAGCGGAUGAAGGGAGCUUGCUCCUGGAUUCAGCGGCGGACGGGUGAGUAAUGCCUAGGAAUCUGCCUGGUAGUGGGGGAUAACGUCCGGAAACGGGCGCUAAUACCGCAUACGUCCUGAGGGAGAAAGUGGGGGGUCUUCGGACCUCACGCUAUCAGAUGAGCCUAGGUCGGAUUAGCUAGUUGGUGGGGUAAAGGCCUACCAAGGCGACGAUCCGUAACUGGUCUGAGAGGAUGAUCAGUCACACUGGAACUGAGACACGGUCCAGACUCCUACGGGAGGCAGCAGUGGGGAAUAUUGGACAAUGGGCGAAAGCCUGAUCCAGCCAUGCCGCGUGUGUGAAGAAGGUCUUCUGAUUGUAAAGCACUUUAAGUUGGGAGGAAGGGCAGUAAGUUAAUACCUUGCUGUUUUGACGUUACCAACAGAAUAAGCACCGGCUAACUUCGUG